GACGAACGCUGGCGGCGUGCCUAAUACAUGCAAGUUGAACGCUAAAGCUUUAACUGGUGCUUGCACCGACCUAAGUUUUUAGAGUAGCGGACGGGUGAGUAACACGUGAAUAACCUACCUCAAAGACUGGGAUAACCAUUGGAAACAGUGACUAAUACCGGAUAAAACCCAGUAGCACAUGCUACAAGGUUAAAAGCUGCGUUUGCAGCGCUUUAAGAUGGAUUCGCGGUGCAUUAGUUAGUUGGUGAGGUAAAGGCUCACCAAGACAAUGAUGCAUAGCCGAGUUGAGAGACUGACCGGCCACAUUGGGACUGAGACACGGCCCAAACUCCUACGGGAGGCUGCAGUAGGGAAUCUUCCACAAUGGGCGCAAGCCUGAUGGAGCAACGCCGCGUGUGUGAUGAAGGCUUUCGGGUCGUAAAGCACUGUUGUAUGGGAAGAACGGGUUUAAGAGGAAAUGCUUAAGCAGUGACGGUACCAUACCAGAAAGGGACGGCUAAAUACGUGCCAGCCGCCGCCGUAACAC
rnacentral:rRNA from 1 species